rnacentral:lncRNA from 1 species
CACAUACACACAAAAGAAGGAGAACAGUAACAAAUCCAACAAAAAAAAAUCAUCAGCAUUUUCUCCCUCUAGACUCUCACUCUCUCUCUCCAAUAAAGUUCGCCGGCGACCGGCCGUGACACCACCAUCCGACCAACGACGGUGACGAUAACACAGCUUCAGCCGCAACUUCCUUUUCUCUUCCCCUCUGGCGAACUAGCGCCGACACCGCUCCGUUCUCCGCCUUCCAGAUCUGUCUCAUCACUAUCUAGAUCUGCCGCCGCCGUCCUUCCCUCCCUCCGGUGAUAACAGCCACCGUCAACAACAACCUGUCGCCGUCCUUCCCCCCCUCCGGUGACAACAGCCAUCGUCAACAGCACCGACCGCCAUCGCUGCUCCUGCCGUCAGCGACCAGCGCCGCCGACCCGACCUCUUACCAGCAACGACGACAGCGCCGGCGUUGGAGCCAGCGCCGCUCCGCGUCGGCCAGCUCCGGCCGCAGCUCCUCCACCGGUGACAACCCCG